UGAAUACGAGAUGCUACGGCGUCGAAGCAGUGUAUGUCAGACUUCCAAGAAAAGCUCGCAAUGUCAUAAAUAAAGAAUGCCUGUACCAUAACCGACACAGGUGGGUAGGUAGAGUAUACUAAGGGGCGCGAGAUAACUCUCUCUAAGGAACUCGGCAAAAUAACUCCGUAACUUCGGGAGAAGGAGUGCCUUCUUUAAGAAGGUUGCAAUAACAAGAUCCAAGCAACUGUUUAUCAAAAACACAGGUCUCCGCUAAGUCGUAAGACGAUGUAUGGGGGCUGACGCCUGCCCAGUGCCAGAAGGUUAAAGAAGUUGGUUAGCUUUUGCGAAGCUGAUGACUGAAGCCCUGGUGAACGGCGGCCGUAACGAUAACGGUCCUAAGGUAGCGAAAUUCCUUGUCGGGUAAGUUCCGACCCGCACGAAAGGCGUAAUGAUUUGGAUACUGUCUCGGAGAGGGACUCGGUGAAAUAGACUUGUCUGUGAAGAUGCGGACUACCUGCACCAGGACAGAAAGACCCUAUGAAGCUUUACUGUAACUUGAAAUUGAAAUUGGACUUUAUUUGCGCAGUAUAGGUGGAAGGCGUUGAAAGUAAUCUUGCGGGAUUAGUGGAGCCAUCAGUGAGAUACCACUCCUAUAAUGUUAGAUUUCUAACUUUGGAUCAUGAUCUGGUCAAAGAACAGUUUCAGGCGGGCAGUUUGACUGGGGCGGUCGCCUCCCAAAUGGUAACGGAGGCGUACAAAGGUUUCCUCUGAACGGGUAGAAAUCGUAUCUAGUGUGUAAAGGCAUAAGGAAGCUUGACUGUGAGACCUACAAGUCGAGCAGGGACGAAAGUCGGUCUUAGUGAUCUGACGGUGCUGAGUGGAAAGGCCGUCACUCAACGGAUAAAAGUUACUCUAGGAUAACAGGCUGAUCUCCCCCAAGAGUUCACAUCGACGGGGAGGUUUGGCACCUCGAUGUCGGCUCAUCGCAUCCUGGGGCGGUAGUACGUCCCAAGGGUUGGGCUGUUCGCCCAUGAAAGCGGUACGCGAGCUGGGUUCAGAACGUCGUGAGACAGUUCGGUCCAUAUCCGGUGUAGGCGUUAGAAUAUUGAGAGGAGCCUUCUUUAGUACGAGAGGACCGAGAAGGACAUACCUCUGGUGUACCAGUUAUCGUGCCAACGGUAAACGCUGGGUAGCUAUGUAUGGAGAGGAUAACCGCUGAAAGCAUCUAAGUGGGAAGCCCACCUCAAGAUGAG
rnacentral:rRNA from 1 species